rnacentral:rRNA from 1 species
GACGAACGCUGGCGGCGUGCCUAAUACAUGCAAGUUGAGCGCUGAAGGUUGGUACUUGUACCAACUGGAUGAGCAGCGAACGGGUGAGUAACGCGUGGGGAAUCUCCCCUUGAGCGGGGGACAACAUUUGGAAACGAAUGCUAAUACCGCAUAAAAACUUUAAACACAAGUUUUAAGUUUGAAAGAUGCAAUUGCAUCACUCAAAGAUGAUCCCGCGUUGUAUUAGCUAGUUGGUGAGGUAAAGGCUCACCGAGGCGAUGAUAGAUAGCCGACCUGAGAGGGUGAUCGGCCACAUUGAGACUGAGACACGGCCAAAACUCAUACGGGAGGGAGCAGUAGGGGAUCUGAGGCAAUGGACGAGAGUCUGAGCGAGCAACGGCGCGGGAGUGAAGAAGGUUUUCGGAUCGGAAAACUCUGUUGGUAGAGAAGGAGGUUGGUGAGAGUGGAAAGCUCAUCAAUUGACGGUAACUACCCAGAAAGGGACGGCUAACUACGUG